AGGUUAUUAAAUCUAAAUAAAAGUUAAAUUAAAGAUGUUAAGAAGUUUAAAAUCAUAAUCCAAAUAUGGUUCAAAGAUGUCAAAAUUCAUAUAAAAAAUAAAACUAGAGAUGCUUAAAAAGUCUGCGCCCUAAUUCAAAUACGGUUAAGGAUCAAUUUGGGGGAAGGAAAAUUGGAGAAAAAUGGAGUGUGAGACUUACAUGAUAGCUUCUUUUAAUACGGAUACCAUUUCUCAUUUUCCAUCCAUUUUUACUUUCCA
rnacentral:misc_RNA from 1 species